rnacentral:rRNA from 1 species
GAUGAACGCUAGCGGCAGGCCUAACACAUGCAAGUCGAGGGGUAGUAUAGCAAUAUAUGAGACCGGCGCACGGGUGCGUAACGCGUAUGCAACCUACCUUUUACAGGGGAAUAGCCCAGAGAAAUUUGGAUUAAUGCCCCAUGGUAUAUUUGAGUGGCAUCACUUGAUUAUUAAAGUUCCAACGGUAAAAGAUGGGCAUG